GCUCACUACAAACACACUACAUUCAAUAUACACACUCUGCACUCACUACAUUCACUGUACACACUCUUUAGUGAGUGCAGAGUGUGUAUAAUGAAUGCAGAGUGUGUAUAGUGAAUGUAGUGUGUUUGUAGUGAG